rnacentral:misc_RNA from 1 species
GAUGAAGAACGCAGCAAAAUGCGAUACGUAGUGUGAAUUGCAGAAUUCAGUGAAUCAUCGAAUCUUUGAACGCACAUUGCGCCCGCCAGUAUUCUGGCGGGCAUGCCUGUUCGAGCGUCAUUUCAACCCUCAGGCCCCCAGUGCCUGGUGUUGGGGAUCGGCCCAGCCUUCCUGUAAGGCCGCCGGCCCCGAAAUCUAGUGGCGGUCUCGCUGUAGUCCUCCUCUGCGUAGUAGCACAACCUCGCAGUUGGAACGCGGCGGUGGCCAUGCCGUUAAACACCCCACUUCUGAAAGUUGACCUCGGAUCAGGUAGGAAUACCCGCUGAACUUAAGCAUAUCAAUAAGCGGAGGA